AUUGAACGCUGGCGACAUGCCUUACACAUGCAAGUCGAACGGCAGCACGGGUGCUUGCACCUGGUGGCGAGUGGCGAACGGGUGAGUAAUACAUCGGAACAUGUCCUGUAGUGGGGGAUAGCCCGGCGAAAGCCGGAUUAAUACCGCAUACGAUCUACGGAUGAAAGCGGGGGACCUUCGGGCCUCGCGCUAUAGGGUUGGCCGAUGGCUGAUUAGCUAGUUGGUGGGGUAAAGGCCUACCAAGGAGACGCUCAGUAGCUGGUCUGAGAGGACGACCAGCAACACUGGGACUGAGACACGGCCCAGACUCCUACGGGAGGCAGCAGUGGGGAAUUUUGGACAAUGGGCGAAAGCCUGAUCCAGCAAUGCCGCGUGUGUGAAGAAGGCCUUCGGGUUGUAAAGCACUUUUGUCCGGAAAGAAAUCCUUGGCCCUAAUACGGUCGGGGGAUGACGGUACCGGAAGAAUAAGCACCGGCUAACUACGU
rnacentral:rRNA from 1 species